UUUAUUUAUUUAUUUAUUUUGAUGAAUUGCAGUGUCUCAUAUUUGUGUUAAUGUCCAUGCACUAUACUUUGAUAAAUAUUGCCACAAAAAAUAAUGAAAUACAAUUAAAGACCAUAUUCAAAGGAAAAGCAUGGUUUACACAGUUAUCAAGCAUCCAGCUGUCUUUUUAUUUAUUCCGUCACUUCUAAAGGCCAUAUUCAAAGGAAAAUCACUUAGUAUCAUAAUUUUCUAGCAAGUUGAUCAGCAUAAUAGAUUGUCUUUGUUAAAAUGAUAGGAUAACCAUCUAGAGGAUCCUACUAAAAGAUGAAAUUUAAAAAAUCAACUAAAGGAUAUGAGACCAGAUUAGAACAUCAUGCUUUAAAAAUUCAGACUACUAAUUCUGACAUUGAUAGUAUUUGGAACUAAAUUUUGAAAAUAUAAUUUGAUAAAAACCAACUAUAAAAAAUUAUAAAUUAAAGCUGAUUUAAUAUAUGCUUCUUCAUUAAGUGAACGUCGAAUUCCACAUGGCAAUGGCAUGGAUUUAAGACUAUGAAAUUGUAUAACCACAAUUUUGUCAUGUCUCAUUGGUUGAUCCAUAUUUAUUGAAGCAAAAUUUAUCAUCUCAAUAUUGCCACAUGGCCUUCUAAUUGUCUCUCUAUUCCAAACAACAAUUCUCAGCAUUGUUAUUCAACAUAUUUAUUUCUCACUCUAUGUUUUUCUAAUUAAGAUAAUUAAGUUAAAUCAAACUACAAA
rnacentral:misc_RNA from 1 species